AAAAAAAAAAAAAAAAAUUAGAAAAAAAAAAAAUUAUUCAUCACCAACUGUUCAUAUGGGAAAUGAAUGAUGUCAUUGAUUAUUUUGAAAGUGGAUUUUUUUUUCUCUCAUUGUCGUGUUGAUGUGAUUUCUUAUUGUUCUUUUUAUGAUGGAAAAUUUUACUUGAUUCACUUCUGUAUAGUUGGGUUGUCUCUUCGUACAUGGGACCAGAUUUGAUGCCAUUACUUAAAUUUUCAAUUUGACUAACUUUGUCUCUGCUUUUUGAAUUGAGUAAAAUGGUAAUCCUUUUAAUGAAUUAAGGAUCAUUUAUCAUUGAAAAUGGUGUCAAUAUUUGUAGG
rnacentral:misc_RNA from 1 species